CCGGCACGGGUGAGUAACACGUAUCCAACCUGCCGUCUACUCUUGGACAGCCUUCUGAAAGGAAAAUUAAUACAAGAUGGCAUCAUGAGUCCACAUGUUCACAUGAUUAAAGGUAUUUUCCGGUAGACGAUGGGGAUGCGUUCCAUUAGAUAGUAGGCGGGGUAACGGCCCACCUAGUCAACGAUGGAUAGGGGUUCUGAGAGGAAGGUCCCCCACAUUGGAACUGAGACACGGUCCAA
rnacentral:rRNA from 1 species